rnacentral:rRNA from 1 species
UACGUAGGGGGCAAGCGUUGUCCGGAUUUAUUGGGCGUAAAGAGCGUGUAGGCGGCUAGGUAGGUCCGUUGUGAAAACUCGAGGCUCAACCUCGAGACGUCGAUGGAAACCAUCUAGCUAGAGUCCGGAAGAGGAGAGUGGAAUUCCUGGUGUAGCGGUGAAAUGCGCAGAUAUCAGGAGGAACACCAAUUGCGAAGGCAGCUCGCUGGGACGGUACUGACGCUGAGACGCGAAAGCGUGGGGAGCGAACAGG